ensembl:lncRNA
AUAUAUAUAUAUAUAUAUAUAUGUAUAUACACUCAACAAAAAUAUAAACGCAACACCUUUGUUACUGCUCCCAUUCCCCAUGGGAUGGACGUAGAGACCUAAAAUUCAUUCCAGAUACACAAUAUAACCAUCCCUCCCAAACAGUGGUCACAAAUCAGUCCAAAUGUGUGGUAGUGGGCACAUCUGCUAUAUUGAGAUAAUCCAUCCCACCUCACAGGUGUGCCACAUCAGGAUGCUGAUCUGACAUCAUGAGUAGUGCACAGGUGUACCUCAGACUGCCCACAACAAAAGGCCACCCUGGAAUGUGCAGUUUUGUCUCACAGCAAAAUGCCACAGAUGCCACAAGCAAUGAGGGAGCGUGCAAUUGGCAUGCUGACAGCAGGAAUGUCAACCAGAUCUGUCGCCCCCCCCAUAUGUUACACCCCGGCCUAGGCAACCGGGGUGCAACGUAGAAAAACAAAGAUAAGGAAAAUAAAAAUAAGGAAAAUAAAAAUAAGGUAAAAAAAACACACGAGAAAAAACUAAUACGGGUUUCCACAAAAAUCAUCCCAAAACGACCACUAUUUUCUUUAAAGCAAAAUGAUAUUUAUUUACAACGCAAGGCGCCAAACUAUUUACAACGGGGGGGGAAAAAGAUCGCGACCAUGACAACUGACACACAGGGCUUAAAUACAUGGAGGGAACAAUCAGGGAAUGGACAACAGGAGGGAAACACAGCUGGGGCAAAUCAGAACUGACGAGACAGGGAAAAUGUAAACUGAACACACUAAGAUGACACAGACUUUCAAAGUAAAGUAGGAAACACAUAACAGUCACGCAAAAACAACACAUUACCAACGCCAAAUCGUCAAUCCCGGAGGAGCACCUAGACACUCAAAUCCACACACAAUUACGGUCACAGCCGUAACACUGUAUAAGGUCCAUAUGCUAAGAUUGCGAUGUUUGUUGCUGUAUUUACUUAUGAAGACACUCCUUUGUAGCACCACACAAUAAUCACAUCAGUAAAGGUUUGUUGGUUAGAAACCGAUUCAUGCAUGUUACUGUAUCCCCCUGCUUUAGUAAGGAAGCUAUGCUAACGGAAACACUGACAUAUUUUUUAAUUUGAUUUUAUUUAUAUAGCACAACAACAGUCACCUCAAGGUGCUUUGUAUUGCAUGGUAAAGACCCUACAAUAAUACAGAGAAAACCCCAACAAUCAUAAAACCCCUAUUAUCAAGUACUUAGUGACAGUAGGAAGGAAAAACUCCCUUCUAACAGAAAGAAACCUCCCACAGGUCAGGCCCGUUUGCUGUGAGCGACUGGGGGUGAUGCAAAGAAGAUAAAAAAAAAACAUGCUGUGGAAAAG